CAAACGAAAAUAUCACUUCGUACGGUUUUCUUGCGAAUACCAUGCUUGUCAAGUUCUAUUUGCGCUAGUUCUGCAAGUCAUCUGUCCGUACAAGCUAGGCAUUCAAGUUGUGCGGUGGAGCCCAUGCUGUCCCACUUUAUGAGCAGAAGUCUUGGGCUGCCGGUCUAUAGACGGGAAUGAGUUGCUGAGUGCGUGACAGCUACACAUGUGGCGCUUAACAGGAUGCCCCACGGGUCUGACAUGCGACACCUAAGUACUAUGUAUUUUUUAAAUAAAAACUUCAGUUUUCUAUUUACU